CCCCCACCAGCUCUUCAAAUGACAUCACAUAUAUGAGGAGAAGCCACUUGAACCAUAACCUUUGGCCUUGUUCCCAAACGCUGAGAGGGCUUUUUAUGCGGUUGUGUAAGAGGAGAAUGCUUUACGAGUUAGAAGAGAGUAGGGAGAAACCAGGGGAGGUGAGCCAAGACACAGAGAAAGAAGGAAAAGAAAGAAUGAAUUUUUCUGAGGUUCUGUUUGCAGGAAUGUUUCCCUGAGAAAGAGAGACCUAAUUACAACAGGUUUUUAUUUAGUGUAAUGUUACCAAGCUUCAGCCCUACUAGUAAGGCAACUACACAGAGACACUGACUGCUAAUCAGACCCUUUCACAAUUAAAUUUACAAAAAAUACAUACUUAUGUAAUUGUAUGAGACAACCAGUUCUGAAUUCGUAAACAGACAUACUUAAAAAGGUUAAUACAAAAAGAGGAAACAAGAAACUAUUGGGAGACCAAUUUAACAGAACUGGGGAGAAAAAAAAAAAAAACAGCAAAAGUUUGUUCCUUAUUUACAUCUUCAUAGAGUGGAAAUGUUACCAUUAAUUACCAGAAAAAUGAGAUGUGAUUCAUUAAAACAGAGCAGGUGAUCAGUAUCCUUAGUUUGCAAAAGUUGCUCUGUACUUGAAAGGCAUGGAUGCAUAAAAAUAUGACCUAUUCUUAAAGAGCUGAGGAACAGAAAGGAACAGAAAGUCAGGACAGAGGCACAGGAACCAAACAAGGACUGAGAAAAUGGGCUGCUGAAGAUCAAGGCUGAAGUGCACUAACAAGCUUGGCAGACAGAUCAUGAUGAACACAGGAUGCCUAUUCACAUAACACUUGGCUUAAAGCAAAGCAUUAGUUCCUCCCUUCCACAAACACUGAAUUUUCUCUUAAGAAGUUUUUAUGUCUAAAAACAAAUGUUUUGAGAAUGAAACUGUAUGUAUAAGUUUCAGUUAGGGUAAAAAGAUUAUUUACAUAAAGCUGCACUUCAUGAAAAUUAAAAGAAAAACAAGCUGUAAAAAUAAAACUCUGUGAAAUGACUUUUCAAAACUGUUAGAGUAAUCUCAACCUCCUUUAAAAUACUUUGUGAUAAUCUUAACCUAGUAUUAUUUUAGCAAUAAUACUUUAAAAAUACUAUGUAAAUGGAGAGCAUUAAAUUAAUGCAUAGCACAAGAUACAAAUAUCCCUGUAUAAUCCAGUUGUUUGGAAAGUAAAUCAAACUCAGCAGUGAUAAUCGUUAUCACAGAUAUAGUUAAAACAACCCAUAAAAAUGAUCAAGUCUAUAAACUGCUUUCUUUCACAGCUUAUAUGCAACUGUCUAACUUGCCAGAUGCCUGGAUAUUCCCUGAUUAAAUCAUACACGUGCCUUCCAAACAUUUUAUAAACCUGGUAAGCACUUCUGAGUGUGUGAAGGUGGCCCUUUGUGGGCUAUCUGUAAAAGCCCGGGGUUUUCCUGUAACUUUUGUGAGCAGAGUUCUGAUGUCUUGUCCUGAGUAGUAAUUUUGGCUUUUGUGCAGGAAAAAAACCCCAAAAUAUAUCCUGUAUGUCUGUGUACAGUUUCUCUUUUUGCAGUGUUUUUUUUGCAAGAAGUUUAAGGGGUCCCACAUUACCAUACCCCUGCAGAGUGGAGCAGGAAACAUUCUCUCCAUGCCCUCCCCUGAGCCUGUGCCAGAGGUGACAUGAGAGUAGGUGCCUGUGAACUCUGCUACACCUGCAGAGACCUGCAGCUUCCUGGCCAUGGACAACACAUCCAGGCCUGGGGGCUGCAGUGGGUGGGGUAAUGCACUGACUUUGGAGCCUUCUGGAGCUUUUUAUCUUUAAUUUCUAAUAAGGUGAACCACAAAAGAAGUACCAUAUGAGGAAUUUGUAGUGCAUAGUGGCAGAUGCUUUAUUCAUUGCUGAUAAAAUGUGCUGCCAGUAAAUAUUUCAUUAAAUGUUCAUUUGUGUUAAACAAGAAAUUGUAAAGACAUGACAACUAAGGAAGAGAGAAUGUGGACAUGACAGGCUUGGGAAAAAACAUCUACAGAAUAGGGAAUGGUAUUAUAACCAAAGGUAAGUACUGAGAUCACACUGAAGCCUUGCUAAGAAACUCAGAAAUACUCUUAGAGCAUGUUGUGGCCUGAAGUAGAUCUCAGGAUCCUGCACUCUGCUUCUAGAUAUGCCAGUCAGGUUCUUGUUCUCUUAGAGGAGUCACCUACACUUUCCAGCAUUAGUUUCUCUCUUUAUUUUCAUUAAAAAUAAUUAUAUUUUUCUCCUGUAACUUUGUUAGUCUUUCUGAUUCACACUGUGUAAAGUAAAAGAAAAAAAACCAUAGAAAAUACAGCAGUGUUAAAUCAUCAUCUAAUUCAAUCUCUUUCUCUGAGUGAAGAUUAACUAGAUCUAUGGAAUUUAUGAUCAUACCGCCUUAAAGGCCUGCAGUGGUAGAGACAAUGUCUCCAGGAGAACAAUUCUAGUGUUUAUACCAGCCAUAGGAAUGCAUUUCCUAGAGGCUGUCAUGAGCCUCAUCUAAUCUACUUUAACAUUAUUUUACUUUUUCAAACAUAAGUGUGAAAAUGGGUGGUAGCUUUCACCUCUUGCUACAACCUUAAAAAAUAAAUCUGCCUCUGGCAUGUUUUCUUUCUGGACACAAAAGAUUUUUCUCUCUGACAAUGUUUUCUGGAUCCAUGGUGACCAACAGUGCUCUCCCAUGGAACAACUGCAAACAAAAAUCUCUGAAAUAUGCCAAACUGUAAUUCAGCUGAGCUCUACAACAGUGGCACACUUUUCAAUCCCUCCUUUGGAUCAGUAAUGGAAACAUGGAAGAGUACCAAAUACAGGAUGGAUCCUAUGGAGCUCUCUAUUCAAUACAUUACAUUCUCAUUUUGACAGGGUCCUGAUGGAUGACAGGAAUUCUCUGGAUGCAUCCUACCAGUUCUCUUUCUGCAUCAUCCCUCCCAAGAACUCAGCAGUCAGUGGUGAUGAUGGACCUUCCAAAACUCCAGAGCAUGACCAGCAAAACACAUUUGCCUACUGAAGUUAAUGAAGUAUUAAGAGAAUUCUUCUAAUCAUUUCAGGCACCACAAAAAUAUCCAAUCCCUCAUUUUGAGCCAGAAACUCAGGCCUCUUAAGUUCUUUGCCUGGCAGCACAGCCUGAGGAAAUGAAGCAUUACGUGGAGCGGAGGAUGGACCAAAGAAGAGCUGAAGUGUACUGGAUGUACAGCAAUCUAUGGGACCAGACAUGUCACACUAAGAGCAAUGAGGGAAUGGCUGAUACCAUUCUGAAGCUACCCUGUCAACUUUGAAAUAACACGGUGAUCAAGGGAGGUUGUGUCUGAAAAAAUAAAAGCAUCACACACGUCUUCUAGUGAGGCAAAAAGAAGGAUCUGAGGAAACACAGGCUAGUGGCUGCUAUGUAGUUAUUUUUUGUGUGUAAGUAAUUUAUGCAUUUGAAUGUCCUUUUGCAGGUGUUAGGUUCACGAUCAGAGGCAAAAAAAAUUCCUUUAUUUUCAUCUAUAUUUCUACCUUAAUAAUUCCUAACAUUCAGUUUGACUUUUUGACCUCUGCCGAGCAGCUGGCAGCAAUUAUAGGCACUUAGUGGUUCUCUGAUUAAACACAAUAGUACCCAGCAAUUACAGCCUAUUCUUACUCUCUUUCCCUGUAGGAAGUGAGCCUUUUCAGAUUGCUCUUUUCUGAAAUUUCAUGGUCCUGUUUGAACUUUCUUUGCAGCAAUUUAUAGGCUUUUAGUUCAAUAUUUCAGAAACACAGCUCUUCUCUAUUGCAGAGUACAUUUUAUUGCAGGCAAUCAUAAAAGUUUAAACUUCAGGGUAAAAAAAGAAACAGUACAGGUUUUAGGUCAAAAUCAAAAUUUAGUUCAAAAAUAAUGAAAUAGGGAUGUCUAUGAUCACAAUAAAAGAAAAUAUAUGAGGCUAUAGUAUUUUAAUAUGGCAAUCAGGUGAAGUCCCAGGUGACUGGAAGGGGGAAGCAUUGUACCCAUCUUUUAAAAGGGUAGAAAGGAAAACUGUGGGAACUAUUGAGCUCAGUCUCAUCUCUGUUCCUGGGAAGAUUCUCCCAGAAGCUACACUAAGGCACAUGGAAAACAGGGAGGUCAUUUGGGAUGGCCAGCACAGCUUCACCAAGAGCAAGCCCUGUAUGACCAACCCAGUGAUCUUCUCUGCUGGAGUGCUUACAUCAAGGGACACGGGAAGGGCUUCACAUGUCAUUUAUCUGUACUUUUUAAAGUACACAACAUCCUGCUCUCUAAAUUGAAGAGAGAUGGACUUGAUUAGUGGAAUGUUAGAUAAGAAAUUGGCUGAAUGAUCACAUUCAGAGUGUUGUGGUCAAUGGCUUAGUGUAAAGAUGAAGAGCAGUGAAAAGUUUUGUGCCAAGUACUGGGCAAAUACACAAGUCUUGUGCCCAUUAGAGAAUAAUAUCUUCAUCAAUUAGAUAAACAGUUGGGUCAAGUGAACUUUCAGCAACUUUGUUGAUGACACUAAGCUUAGUGGUGCAGUUGAUACACCUGAAGGAUGGAAUGUCAUCCAGAAAGACCUGGACAAGCUCAAGAAAUAGACCCAUGGAAAUCUUGUUUAGUUCAAGACCAAGUACAAGGUGCUGCACCUGGGUCAGGGCAACCCCUGGUAUCAUCACAGGCUGGGGAUGAACAGAUUGGAGCAGCCCUGCUGAGAAGGACUUGGAGCGCUGGUGUAUGAGAGGCUGGGCACGAGCCAGCAGUGUGCACUUGGAGCCUGGAAAGUCAAUCGUAUCCUGGGCUGCAUGCAAAGCAGUGUGGCCAGCAGGGUGAGGGAGGGGAUCCUGCUCCUCUGCUCUAGUGAGACCCCACUAGAGUACUAGUGGAGUACUGCAUCCAGCUCCAGAGUAGUAAGUACUAAGGAAAGACGAGGACCUGCUGGUGUGGGCUCAGAGGAGGGGCAUGAAGAUAAUCAGAGAGCUGGGACCCCUCUCUAUGAGGAAAAGUUGAGAAAGCUGGGCUUUUUCAGCCUGCAGAAGAGCAGGCUCCAGAGACGUUUUAUUGCAGCCUUCCAGUACUUGAGGAGGGCUUCUAACAAAGUUGGGGAAACACUUUUUUGUAGUGCCUGUUGCAAUAAAGCAGGGCAUUAUGAUUUUAAACUAAUUCAAUUCAGACUAGAUGUAAAGAAGACAUUUUUACAAUGACUGUGGUGAAACCCAGGCACAGAUUCCUCACGAAGGUGGUAGAUAAAUCACCUCUGGAAGCAUUCAAGGUCAGGCUGGAUGGUACUCUGACCAGCCUGAUCUAGUUGAAGAUGUCCCUUCUCCUUGAAGAGGCAGGCAGACUAAAUGAUCUUCAAAGGUACAUUCCAACCCAAACUAUUGUAUGAUUCUAUGCUAAAUUAUAUUAUUAGGUUUCAUUUUAAUUACCUUUACGGGCUCUCCAGCCUCUAUAUUUAUGUAUCUACUUAUUUGUGAGAAAAAAAUAGCUCAAACUUUUCAUGUUGUGUGAUUCAACCUUUCUUUGUAAAGAGUGUCAUUUAAAAUGCCUUUAGAUCCAGACUGAUCACAUUCACUGUCUGGAGUUCCAAGAGAGAACUGAUCUUCUUUUAGUAUGUGUCAGCAGCUCAUUGCCUACAUUUAGGUUUAAAUGGUAAUGUUUACUGUAGCUGCUUUCAUUGCUUCAGUAUGAGUCCAUAGCAUUGCACUUUGCAAAAUCCUGAGUGUCGUUUCCCAUUGACUUGGGUAAGGUAUCAGGGCACUGUUGGAAUGCACAACCUUGAAUGGAAUAGAAGCUGCUGACAUGAAAUAGCCCUUUGCAGAUGGCUCACUUCUCAUUUUUGAGUAAAACAAGCUACUUUUUCUACUCUAAAUUUUGGCUACCACACAGUAACCACCUAAGUGUGGUUAACAAGCUGCUAUGAUAUUAGCAGUUUCACAAUAUAUAUUGUUAAUUUUUUUGAGACUCUUUAAUGUGUAGUCUGUGAACAUAAGGAUAUGUAAGGGCUGAGUCCAGCAGAACACAAAAGCAUGUUUAAAGUUGAGUUUUUGAGGAACUGAGACUGUAUCUCAUUUUCCUUAUUCCUUAAUUUGGAAGAUUAACAUUUCACAGUAGUCUCUCUGAACUGCAUGUGGGAAGGUUCAGUCACACUUCCUGAGACAGUCCAGUUUUCAAAAUAUAACCACCUUUUAUAGAGUGUUUUGAGGUUCUGUAAACCCAUGUUAGGGAAAACAUCAAAUAUUUCUUGAUUUUGCAAAUAUAUAAACAGACUGUAUGAGGCAGAUUCAUGAAAAGUUACCCUCUAAACUGAUAUUAGCUAUUUGAAAAUAAAUCUGUAGAUUAUUCCUUAGUAGUCAUAAAUAAAAUAUGGAUUUUAUUUAUUUAUUUAUUUUUGUAAAAUUUAGGCUUCUCCUUUCCUUUUACAGAUGUAUCAAUAAGCUCUGUUUCCCAAUUCAAGAGAAGACUGUUGUGUGCUUCUGAAGUGUAAUGGGCUGGAAAUGUUAUGUCAAAAGAAAACACUGUUAUGAAAACUGACUAUAGUAGCAAUUCAAGAUUCAGUGUAGUGUAACACAGAAUCAGUCUGUUAAACCACUGUUGAAACCAACUUCAAAAAUAAGAGUUUUUUAACUCUGGUAUAAACUAUUCUUUUGCUACUAUGAUGAUCAAAACUCAUUAUCUUCUCAAACAAGCAAAUGAAAUCCUACUGCCUUAUCACAAGUGUCUUCUGUAAAAAUGUGUUAUAUUCUCAUUUAGGUUAAUCUCGUCACAGUAUUUACAAAAGAACUACUCACAGUCCUUCUGUUUUCUGUUGAGCAAGCCAUGUGUGUAGUUAAAAAAUGCCAAAGUAAUGUUCAUUUCUACUAGGAAUGGCAACAGCUUUUUGGUUUGUGCUUGUACAGUUCCUAGCACUUGAUGGGUUUCUGUGCCAUGACACGGGAAAUUUAAAUGUUCCAAAUGUACAAGGAAUGUUACUGAUACAAUGACUAAAAAGGAAUGAAAGACUAUAUUGUAUUCAAUGCUUGCAAGAUAUUAUUUUGGUCUUAAGUAGUUUCUCUGUUACUGUAGUCCCUCAUUCCUCUUCUUCAUCGUCUCACUUUGAGUUGGCUCUGUAUGUGCAGUAAAGCAGUGCACAGUUUGUAAGUUACUUCAAGAACCCUUAGAAGAGUGCUUCAAUUUACCAUUGGGAUUAAGAACAAAUCCUUUCACUUUAACAUUUCACCUUAACUGAGACAAUAAUACAAACAAAUUUUUUGACCUGGUGUAUUGGACCUACUGUGUGUCAAAUGCAGGAUAGUUGUAUGCUAACAGCAGGAUUAUAGAAGGAACACCAUGCCUUUCUAAGCAAAAUAUGUAGGUAAAUAUAAUAACAAGCAUCAGAAUUGACAAGAAAGUAUAGUUUUAUGUAAAAUACAGUAUUUAGGAAACAUUUUAUGUUGCAGCCGUGUACAUAAUGAUUUGAAUCAUUACCUGAAAGACAAUUGAUAAAAAGAUUUAGGGGAUUUGGUAAGUAUAAUGGUGUUUGGUAGAAAUAAAUAAUUAUUUUAAGAAGGUUCAAAUCUGGCUUUGUCUCUAGAAAUAAUCAAAUACUUUUACAAAUGAAAAUAACUAAAUAUUUUUUGCAAAAUGAAUUAAUUGCAACUAAAACAUUAUUUCAAAAUGUGUAGCCAUUCUAUAUUACCUACAGCAUAUACAGAAUAUAUGGGCAUUAAUCAAAAGGCAGUAUCCUACCUACAGCAAAUAUACUGGAGCAAAUGCAGAACUGUAGCUUAAUAUCUAAUGUAAAGAGCAUGUUCUUGAAGACUGGACUGGUUUUGUGUCUAUUUAUAUACCAGUUCCACUGUCCUUGCCUAACAUCCUCUUGUUCAAUUUCAAUCAAAUUUUAUUAUGUUGAUAUGAAAAUAGC